GAUGAACGCUGGCGGCGUGCCUAAUACAUGCAAGUCGAGCGAACGGACGAGAAGCUUGCUUCUCUGAUGUUAGCGGCGGACGGGUGAGUAACACGUGGAUAACCUACCUAUAAGACUGGGAUAACUUCGGGAAACCGUAGCUAAUACCGGAUAAUAUUUUGAACCGCAUGGUUCAAAAGUGAAAGACGGUCUUGCUGUCACUUAUAGAUGGAUCCGCGCUGCAUUAGCUAGUUGGUAAGGUAACGGCUUACCAAGGCAACGAUGCAUAGCCGACCUGAGAGGUGGAUCGGCCACACUGGAACUGAGACACGGUCCAGACUCCGACGGGAGGCAGCAGUAGGGAAGCUUCCGCAAUGGGCGAAAGCCUGACGGAGCAACGCCGCGUGAGUGAUGAAGGUCUUCGGAUCGUAAAACGCUGUUAUUAGGGAAGAACAGAUGUGUAAGUAACUGUGCACAUCUUGACGGUACCUAAGCAGAAAGCCACGGCUAACUACGUG
rnacentral:rRNA from 1 species